rnacentral:rRNA from 1 species
UACGUAGGGUGCGAGCGUUAAUCGGAAUUACUGGGCGUAAAGCGUGCGCAGGCGGUUUUGUAAGCCAGAUGUGAAAUCCCCGGGCUUAACCUGGGAAUGGCAUUUGGGACUGCAAGGCUAGAGUGCGGUAGAGGAGGGUGGAAUUCCCGGUGUAGCGGUGAAAUGCGUAGAGAUCGGGAGGAACAUCAGUGGCGAAGGCGGCCCUCUGGACCAGCACUGACGCUGAGGCACGAAAGCGUGGGGAGCAAACAGG